rnacentral:rRNA from 1 species
UGAGGAAUAUUGGUCAAUGGGCGCAAGCCUGAACCAGCCAUCCCGCGUGCAGGAAGACGGCCCUAUGGGUUGUAAACUGCUUUUCCAGGGGGAGAAUUUUUCUGUCGUGACAGGAAUUGACGGUACCCUGGGAAUAAGCAUCGGCUAACUCCGUGCCAGCAUCCGCGGUAAUACGGAGGAUGCGAGCGUUAUCCGGAUUUAUUGGGUUUAAAGGGUGCGUAGGCGGAUAGAUAAGUCAGUGGUGAACACCUGCAGCUUAACUGUAGACUGGCCGUUGAUACUGGCAGUCUUGAGUAUGGUCAAGGUAGGCGGAAUGUCUAAUGUAGCGGUGAAAUGCUUAGAUAUUACACAGAACACCGAGUGCGAAGGCAGCUUGCUGGGCCAUUACUGACGCUGAUGCACGAAAGCGUGGGGAUCGAACA